AUCCACUGAGGCCUCCUCUUUUCACAUUGAGCCUAUAUGAGGCAAAAGAGGCAGAGAGCUAUUACAAGGUGGACAGUUCUGUGUGGUACAAUGAACUUCGCAGCAUGGAAGCAGAGGUCAAUGUUCACAUCUUAAAUGCUGUAGCUGCUGCUGAAGAAAACUUAGUCCUAGCUCAUCAGGUUCGCUGUCUUGCGUUGUUGUUUGACUUUUAUGUUGAAGAUGGGGGUUCAUCUUCUGAGAAGAGAAGGAGCACUUCUGUGAUUGAUGUUGGUUUAUGCAAACCUAUGACUGGUGAGCUUGUUGCUCGAUCAUUUAGAGGAAGAGAUCAUAGGAAGAUGAUCUCAUGGAAAGACGGUUUUUGCACCCCUGGCUAUCCGUACUAGGUAAUAUCCCAAAUGUUGUUACAUAUUGUAGCUUUAUUUCUUGAGUGUGCUAGGUUGUUUAAUUCCAUGUGAUUCGUCUUUCGUGCUAUACCAUGUACUACUGAGAUUCACAUUGCAACAUACGGCUCUUGAUGACAUUAAGAUGCUAUUUGUUGCCUGCUUUUCAAAUUGAUGAGGCUGA
rnacentral:misc_RNA from 1 species